GGAAGAAGGAAAAGUCACCAGCCUUCUCCUUGAGCCGCUGUGGUCAGCGCCCGGGAGGCAAGUGCUGUUACAUCGGCGCUAUUACACCUACGGAGAGCGAUGACGAUCUAAAUGUCUGCCAAGAGAGGAAUGCAUAAAGAUACUAAGUGCAACACAUCAAAAGAAAAAAGAGUAAUGACCUCUCACGAAUGAAAAGAGUGCAUCCAGGUCAAGACAAGGAGAGGUGAAGCAUAGUCACACGUGGGUUGCCUGAGCUGUACACCAUUUUCAUCUGGUCAUGCAGAGUUGUUGCGAACAUAGUCACAGUAUGUUCUACUGUUCACACAAUAACUUUGAAUGGGCUACACAAACACUUAUUAUUAAAGAUUUUUUCAUGACAAUCCAAGAAAUUUUGAGUUCAGAUUCUUCUUUUCUUAAGUUCUUAUUUAGUCUGAAGCUAACUGCUUUGAAUAAUCUCCCCAGAUUCUCAACAAUCCUAUUAAUAAUAUGAAACUUUUCUUAUUUCCAGAAUCCAUUUCUAUCUUGGACCACAUGUUUAAAAAAACUGCAAAAAUUAGAAUUUGUAUCUUUAUUGCAUAUACCUUUAAAAUGUGUAUGUGCAGAUGUAGAAACUUGUACCCAUAAUUUCAUUAACAUAAAAAUUUACUUGGAAAUAAUAAAAUUAUGAUUUACACCUGUUAUUUCUCGAGCUGAUUUUCACCA